GUCCUUGUGGCGCAAAGGAUGCGCGUUGGACUUCUAAUCCAAAGUUUGUGGGUUCGAAUCUCACCUGGGAUG